rnacentral:tRNA from 1 species
GCACCCGUAGCUCAGCCGGAUAGAGCAUCCGCCUUCUAAGCGGAGGGUCGCAGGUUCGAGUCCUGCCGGGUGCGCCA